GAUGAACGCUGGCGGCGUGCCUAAUACAUGCAAGUCGAGCGAACAGACGAGGAGCUUGCUCCUCUGACGUUAGCGGCGGACGGGUGAGUAACACGUGGAUAACCUACCUAUAAGACUGGGAUAACUUCGGGAAACCGGAGCUAAUACCGGAUAAUAUAUUUAACCGCAUGGUUCAAUAGUGAAAGACGGUUUUGCUGUCACUUAUAGAUGGAUCCGCGCCGCAUUAGCUAGUUGGUAAGGUAACGGCUUACCAAGGCAACGAUGCGUAGCCGACCUGAGAGGGUGAUCGGCCACACAGGAACUGAGACACGGUCCAGACUCAUACGGGAGGCAGGAGUAGGGAAUCUUCCGCAAUGGGCGAAAGCCUGACGGAGCAACGCCGCGUGAGUGAUGAAGGUCGUCGGAUCGUAAAACUCUGUUAUUAGGGAAGAACAAAUGUGUAAGUAACUAUGCACGUCUUGACGGUACCUAAUCAGAAAGCCACGGCUAACUACGG
rnacentral:rRNA from 1 species